ensembl:lncRNA
CGGGGAGGUUUUUUCCCCCUUCGCCUACAGGUUUCUGCUCGGAUAGGACACAAGACCGCGGUCUGGACGAAGGCACACAAGGGAACAACACAAUCUAGCCAAACAGCUAACACUGCGCUUCACAAAUGCACUGUCACGCUCAGCAUCUUUCUGCCAGCAGCAUGAACACCGAGCUGCUUCACCUGGAAGGACUGCACACUCUUUCUAACAGCACAGAUGUGCUCAACAUCACACCGUGUGAACGCAGUGUGACCUCACGCCUAGGUUUGUUUCUCUUCACAGUAUGUCAUAGGCUGAGGUCAAGUACUUGUUGAUACUGAUAGAUCCCAAACAUGUUGUCUUCUUGUUGUUGUUGUUUCUUUUCUGGGUUAGGCAUAUUCAGCAUGACCUUAAUGCUGCUUAUGUCAUCUGAUAUCAUGACGCAUCAGGCAUCAUCCUGCACAUGUUCCUGCCGUCAGAGCAUUUAGGAGCCUGCGCCUUUUAAGGACGGGCGAUAUAGACUUAAAACUAGAUCACGAUAUUCCAUGGUAUUAUUUUUUGCGGUAAUGAUAUAAGUGACGGUAUGAAAAUAGUAACGUUCAACAGUGUCUUUUUGGCCACAGGUCACAUCAGCAUGCAGUCUCGAGAGCCAUGCAAACAUUGAUCCGAAAAAAGUAGAACAUAAUCCUGACCCUCAUCAGAUACUAAACUAUAGCAGUUAAGUAGACUUAAAAAAUUUGGAUAUGAAUUUUAUUCACAAAUUAAAAUUCCCAUGAAAAUGCAAACAAGACAAUACUUGCAGGAUUCAUAAUCUAACCCUAGGGGAAACAUGGAAAUGUAAAAAAAAAAAAGCAACAACAAAAAACAUUUAUUCUGUAAAAGUGCACGUAAUAUUUAAAUAGUGCAAACUUAACAAGCCUUAAACUAUGCUACUAGGUUGCAAAACAUCAAAACCGUAUAUAAAUUCAAUAAUGAUUCAAAUAAAGUUCAAGUUUGAAAUGUAAACUAGUUAUAUACUAUUUAUAUUAGUUGGGCGGUACCUUCCGAUAACUGAUUAAUCAGCCGAUAGUUUUUAAAAUAAAUACUGAAUGAAAACAUAACACUCAAGGUAAAAUAUUGCUGAACUUUAUUACAAAAAUAAACAGUAUUCCCCAUACCAAAUAAACUGUUAAUAAAUAUUGAAGUAAAUAAAAGCUAUACAUCUAAACUGAACCAAAAAGUAACACUUCAAAUAAGAAAUAAAAAUAGAGACAUCCAAAAUGCAUUAAAAA